rnacentral:rRNA from 1 species
AACGAACGCUGGCGGCAUGCCUAACACAUGCAAGUCGAACGAGACCUUCGGGUCUAGCGGCGCACGGGUGCGUAACGCGUGGGAACCUGCCCUUAGGUUCGGAAUAACUCCCCGAAAGGGGUGCUAAUACCGGAUAAUGUCUUCGGACCAAAGAUUUAUCGCCUUUGGAUGGGCCCGCGUUGGAUUAGCUAGUUGGUAGGGUAAAAGCCUACCAAGGCGACGAUCCAUAGCUGGUCUGAGAGGAUGAUCAGCCACACUGGGACUGAGACACGGCCCAGACUCCUACGGGAGGCAGCAGUGGGGAAUAUUGGACAGUGGGCUAAAGCCUGAUCCAGCAAUGCCGCGUGAGUGAUGAAGGCCUUAGGGUUGUAAAGCUCUUUUACCCGGGAUGAUAAUGACAGUACCGGGAGAAUAAGCUCCGGCUAACUCCGUG